AUACUCGCGCUCUGAUUGGUCAGUGUUUUCCGUUAAUAUCUCUUCAACGAAGCCUCGGACAACAUUUUCGCUAAGGAAAAAGUUGCUUCAAAUCACCUCCCGAACCACCUCUUUCAAGGUGUUACAACAUUUUUCGGACACCCUGUAUAAAUUAACAAACUAGAAUUAGUAAGCAGUUACAGAGUCUCGUGAUUCUCAUCAUUGAGUUGAAAAACUUGCGGUUCCUCUAAGAUCCACUUUCUAUUUUUAUCCAGCAAUUCUUUUGUUGGGAGUAUGGCAUUACACAAGAAAGGGGGUCACAAUUUAUCCCAGUGACAGUAAUAUUCUGUGGAGAGUUUGUUCUACGGGAAGUAGUAAGUAGCGCUGUCUACGAUUAUGUGGACACACGUGGUUCAACGUUUGCGUGCGAAUAGACGUCAUGUUUUAUUGCACAUUAGGUUCGAGGCUUUCUUGGUCGGUGUUAUAUUACAUUUAGCACCGUUCGGUGGUCGUCUGCGAGGAUGUUGCGGCGUUUCGUCACGAUUGUAAAUAAUACCUGUUCAUUAUUAUCGGAACGUUUUUACGGAACGUGUUUGUUCAAGUAACGGAAGAUUUUUACAAUUAUAGCUUCGGUAACCGUUUUAAUUAUAAAAAAUUCGUUCGUUAAACAUUCUAAAUUUUACGCAACAAAGAACGGCUAAACAAUUCUUCAUCUUUUAGUAGCUAUUCGAAAUUUAGGUUUAAAUAAGAAUUUUGCCAGUCUCUGGACCCGUUCAUCGUGGAAGGAAUUUUUAAUGUGUUUUUCUUAGCACGAAAGGUUCUUGACCGAUCGCUUCCAGCGCGCUGUAUGCUUUUCGGGGAAUUCCAGAACAGGAUUAUGCACUCUGUAGCAUAAGGACACUCGUAUGAACUAUCGAGGUUAGUAAAUCAACUCGUGGCGUUCUUCCUUCUUCCAAGGAAAGGUAAAUUUGAACGUAAAACGAAAAACAAAUUGUUUAUCAAGAGGGAUGCUAAUUUUAUUUCUCGAGGUUAACAAUCUCCAAGUUUACGAGGUAACCAUGAAGACUGUAUAAGGAGUCCUAACUGUGUAGUGUAGAAGUGUUAUCAAAAUCCCGAGCUUGACGUUAUGAAUACGGCGCGGGUGGUCAUUUCGUCUCGAAGUACGCGCAAUUGGACCCACUUUGUGCCUCGAUUAUUGUGCGAAGACGUACGUCGAUCAAUCAUGCUUCGAGACGAACGACGGAUCACUCAGUUGCGAUAUUUCGACACGCAAUUUCGCGUUCUCCAUUCGUGCACGCUGCAUCUCUCUAUUUAUACUUCGAAGAGUAGUCACGUAGACGUGACGACGUCAGCACGACGUCACACAUUGGUUCGCUAUGCCACGGGAGGCGUGGCUUAGCCAGUUAGCAGUCACAGGAUCCAGUUUAUUGGCCGCAGGAGUCGCGUAGGCGUGACUUCUAAUACUAACGCUAAUUUUCUUAAAAUUACACUAUUUUAAACAUUUUUCUUUGCAGAAUAGAGAUGUAAAGUUAUCGGUGAAAGAUUAUUUAGAAGAUAUAUUUAGAAAAAAAUCCUUUUUCUACUUGAUUCGAGCACGAGUCAACGAUAAUAUUUUUCCUCCUAGAGGUGAAAUGCAAGCAACAAAUUUAUGAAAGCGCUGGAUCACUGAUAGCAGCGAUACCGUCAAUGAAACCGUAGAGGCAGCAUUGAUAACAGCUGUCUACGGAGAUUCCACCUGUGAAAGGGACCCGGUAUCGAUAUCUGCACAGUCGUAAUUCGACUCGCAAAUGCGCGAGCAUUUCUGCCAAGCGUUCUGCUCGCUCGUGUUCUUAAGCAUAAGCCUGCAAGAUAUAGUCCAUCGGGCAUUAUGAGGUAUGAGCAAGUUAUCAGUAGGCACCGAGAAACGUGCAAGAUGGCACGCACACGCUACCUUGCAAUUAUAAUCCAGAUUUCAACGUUGAUCAACCUGACCAAAGCACUCUGCCUGACUCUGCCUAUAUCAUACUGUGAUUUUGACGAGAUGCAUGGAGAUAUCGUAGAUAGGUUUGUGUAAGUAAGUGGAAAUGUCCCAAGCAGCUGUGGUACAUCGAAAGAUCAUACCUGCCCUCCUCUAUCUACAAUAUCUCUAUGGAUUCCUAUCAAGAAAUGAUUAUACGUCUCCAUAAACAAGCCAAUUACCGUUCGAUAUCUUCAAUCAUCCCGCACCGUGUAGAACCCAUGCUCCGCACGUGUGGUACUUGUGCAAUUUGGGGAAUAAUCAUGACCGAUAUUCGCAAUCAAAUUCGAAGUCUGUUAUCGCAACUAGUGUGUUUUUACAAUAAACAUCGAUGAAUUCUGACCUUCCUGUAAGAUAACAGCCCCCAUCGACAGAUUAAGACGAUUUAUUUCUGCAAAUUUGACACGCGCAUUCGCGCGAAUAUACAACCGCGAGACGAACGCUCU